rnacentral:rRNA from 1 species
GAUGAACGCUAGCGGCAGGCUUAAUACAUGCAAGUCGAGGGGCAGCAUGACUGUAGCAAUACAGUUGAUGGCGAUCGGCAAACGGGUGCGGAACACGUACAGAACCUUCCUUCGAGCGGGGAAUAGCCCAGAGAAAUUUGGAAUAAUACCCCAUAGUACAACGGAGUGGCAUCACUUUGUUGUUAAAGAUUUAUCACUUGAAGAUGGCUGGGCGGCUGAUUAGUUAGUUGGCGGGGUAACGGCCCACCAAGCCUGCGAUCAGUAACUGGUGUGAGAGCACGACCAGUCACACGGGCACUGAGACACGGGCCCGACUCCUACGGGAGGCAGCAGUAAGGAAUAUUGGUCAAUGGACGAAAGUCUGAACCAGCCAUGCCGCGUGGAGGAUGAAGGUCCUCUGGAUUGUAAACUUCUUUUAUGUGGGACGAAAAAAGGGUUUUCUAACUCGUCUGACGGUACCAUAUGAAUAAGCACCGGCUAACUCCGUGCCAGCCGCCGCCGUAAUAC